rnacentral:rRNA from 1 species
UACGGGGGAUGCAAGCGUUAUCCGGAUUUAUUGGGUUUAAAGGGUGCGUAGGCUGUGAGGUAAGUCAGCGGUGAAAUGCCCCCGCUCAACGGGGUGAAGUGCCAUUGAUACUGCCUUGCUGGAAUGCGGAUGCCGUGGGAGGAAUGUAUGGUGUAGCGGUGAAAUGCAUAGAUAUCACACAGAACACCGAUUGCGAAGGCAUCUCACGAAUCCGCGAUUGACGCUGAUGCACGAAAGCGUGGGUAUCAAACAGG